rnacentral:rRNA from 1 species
AAUAGAUACCCGGGUAGUCCACCCCGUAAACGUUGGGAACUAGUUGUGGGGUCCAUUCCACGGAUUCCGUGACGCAGCUAACGCAUUAAGUUCCCCGCCUGGGGAGUACGGCCGCAAGGCUAAGACUCAAAGGAAUUGACGGGGACCCGCACAAGCGGCGGAGCAUGCGGAUUAAUUCGAUGCAACGCGAAGAACCUUACCAAGGCUUGACAUAUACGAGAACGGGCCAGAAAUGGUCAACUCUUUGGACACUCGUAAACAGGUGGUGCAUGGUUGUCGUCAGCUCGUGUCGUGAGAUGUUGGGUUAAGUCCCGCAACGAGCGCAACCCUCGUUCUAUGUUGCCAGCACGUAAUGGUGGGAACUCAUGGGAUACUGCCGGGGUCAACUCGGAGGAAGGUGGGGAUGACGUCAAAUCAUCAUGCCCCUUAUGUCUUGGGCUUCACGCAUGCUACAAUGGCCGGUACAAUGGGCAGCGAUACCGUGAGGUGGAGCGAAUCCCAAAAAGCCGGUCCAGUUCGGAUUGAGGUCUGCAACUCGA